UUCUCCCAUGCUUUCCGUUGGUCAACAACCAACCAAAGUGCUCUAUACUUCUUCACUACUCGUACAGGCUUGACGGAGUUAAGUUGUAUUGAGGGAAUCGUUUUGUCUCAAUCAAUCAAGAAUGCCUCAACUGGAUAAAUUCACUUAUUUCACACCAUUCUUCUGGUCAUGCCUUUUCCUCUUUCCUUUCUAACUCAACUGGAUAAAUUCACUAUUUCACACCAUUCUUCUGGUCAUGCCUUUUCCUCUUUGCUUUCUAUAUUCUUAUAUGCAAUGAUGGAGAUGGAGUACUUGGGAUCAGCAGAAUUCUAAAACUACGGAACCAACUGGUUUCACACCGGGAGAACAAGAUCCGGAGCAACGACCCCAACUUUUUGGAAGAUAUCAUAGGAAAAGGUUUUAGCACCGGUGUAUCCUAUAUGUACUCAAGUUUAUUCGAAGUAUCCCAAUGGUGUAACGCCUUUGACUUCUUGGGAAAAAGGAGGAAGAUGACUUUAAUCUCUUGUUUCGGAGAAAUAAGUGGCUCACGAGGAAUGGAAAGAAACAUAUCCUAUUUGAUCUCUAAGUCUGUACAUAGCAAUCCUGGGUGGGUCAUUACUUGUAGGAUUGACAUAAUGCUAAUCCAUGUUCCACACAGCUAAGGAAGUAUCAGUUUUUAAUCUCAUUAUGACUUGGUCGUUCGGAAGAGCAAUUAAUUCGAUCAGAAUAGUGGAAUGGAAAGCAGUAAAAGAAUUAAAUACUCCUUUCUUUUCCAAUAGCACCGCGAAGACAGACGUUCCGAAAGGUUCUCGAGAUUCUCAAUCGCUCUUUUUAGUGGGGAGGAAUAGUGCGGGAAGGGAGCGAGACCAAGCCUAGCCACUAGUAGAGUAAGCCCUUCCCACGUGUCAAGUUGAAUAUGAAUAAAUGAAUGCAGCCUCAACCAGAGAGAUCAACCUACACCUUUGGGUUGAGGCCGCUGGCGGCGCAGAACGAACUAAUCCGCGACCAUCAAGUUUUCCGAAAGCGAACUGAAUGGAAUUGUUACUUUCAAAAAAUCUUGCUUCAAAUCAAAGAAAGAAGGUCUAUUUUCCCACGUAGUUCGUUGGUCAAACCAACGAUUCUCUUCGCAAAGUAAUAGAGAGA
rnacentral:lncRNA from 1 species